CUGGCCCUACGGGAGGCAGCAGUGAGGAAUAUUGGUCAAUGGGCGGGAGCCUGAACCAGCCAUGCCGCGUGAAGGCGAGUGCCCUACGGGCGUUAAACUUCUUUUGUGCGGGAGCAAUAAGGGCCACGUGUGGCCCGAUGAGAGUACCGCACGAAUAAGCAUCGGCUAACUCCGUGCCAGCAGCCGCGGUAAUACGGAGGAUGCGAGCGUUAUCCGGAUUUAUUGGGUUUAAAGGGUGCGUAGGCGGUCCGUUAAGUCAGCGGUAAAAUUGCGGGGCUCAACCCCGUCGAGCCGUUGAAACUGGG
rnacentral:rRNA from 1 species